rnacentral:tRNA from 1 species
GGAUUUGUGGCUCAGUGGUAGAGCACUCGCCUAGCAUGUGUGAGGACCUGGGUUUGAUCCUCAGCACCA